rnacentral:rRNA from 1 species
UGGGGAAUAUUGGACAAUGGGGGCAACCCUGAUCCAGCCAUGCCGCGUGUGUGAAGAAGGCCUUUUGGUUGUAAAGCACUUUAAGCAGUGAAGAAGACUCCAUGGUUAAUACCCAUGGACGAUGACAUUAGCUGCAGAAUAAGCACCGGCUAACUCUGUGCCAGCAGCCGCGGUAAUACAGAGGGUGCAAGCGUUAAUCGGAGUUACUGGGCGUAAAGCGAGCGUAGGUGGCUUGAUAAAUCAGAUGUGAAAGCCCCGGGCUUAACCUGGGAACGGCAUCUGAUACUGUUAGGCUAGAGUAGGUGAGAGGAAGGUAGAAUUCCAGGUGUAGCGGUGAAAUGCGUAGAGAUCUGGAGGAAUACCGAUGGCGAAGGCAGCCUUCUGGCAUCAUACUGACACUGAGGUUCGAAAGCGUGGGUAGCAAACA